AUAGAGAACAGCCUACGAGAAGAGAGUAGGUCUAUAGAGAACAGCCUACGAGAAGAGAGUAGGUCUAUAGAGAACAGCCUACGAGAAGAGAGUAGGUCUAUAGAGAACAGCCUACGAGAAGAGAGUAGGUCUAUAGAGAACAGCCUACGAGAAGAGAGUAGGUCUAUAGAGAACAGCCUACGAGAAGAGAGUAGGUCUAUAGAGAACAGCCUACGAGAAGAGAGUAGGUCUAUAGAGAACAGCCUACGAGAAGAGAGUAGGUCUAUAGAGAACAGCCUACGAGAAGAGAGUAGGUCUAUAGAGAACAGCCUACGAGAAGAGAGUAGGUCUAUAGAGAACAGCCUACGAGAAGAGAGUAGGUCUAUAGAGAACAGCCUACGAGAAGAGAGUAGGUCUAUAGAGAACAGCCUACGAGAAGAGAGUAGGUCUAUAGAGAACAGCCUACGAGAAGAGAGUAGGUCUAUAGAGAACAGCCUACGAGAAGAGAGUAGGUCUAUAGAGAACAGCCUACGAGAAGAGAGUAGGUCUAUAGAGAACAGCCUACGAGAAGAGAGUAGGUCUAUAGAGAACAGCCUACGAGAAGAGAGUAGGUCUAUAGAGAACAGCCUACGAGAAGAGAGUAGGUCUAUAGAGAACAGCCUACGAGAAGAGAGUAGGUCUAUAGAGAACAGCCUACGAGAAGAGAGUAGGUCUAUAGAGAACAGCC